GAAGUUCGCCAGGCAGUCGCUGCGCACCUCGUCGUGCGUGGAGGAAAGUCCGGGCCCCACAGGGCAGGAUGCCGGCUAACGGCCGGGCGCCGUGAGGCGACGGAAAGUGCAACAGAGAGCAGACCGCCGAUGGCCUUCGCAAGAGGGAUCAGGCAAGGGUGAAACGGUGGGGUAAGAGCCCACCGCAGGACUGGCAACAGGACUGGCACGGUAAACCCCAUCCGGGGCAAGGCCAAAUAGGGGAGCAUUGACGUGGCUCGCGUCGCUCCCGGGUAGGCUGCUAGAGCGUCACGGCAACGUGGCGCCCAGAGGAAUGACUGCCCGACGAGGCCGGCUUGCGCCGGCACCGUUCGACAGAACCCGGCUUAUCGGCGAACUUCCCAC
rnacentral:RNase_P_RNA from 1 species